UACGUAGGGUGCAAGCGUUGUCCGGAAUUAUUGGGCGUAAAGAGCUCGUAGGCGGCUUGUCGCGUCGGCUGUGAAAACCUGGGGCUCAACCCCGGGCCUGCAGCCGAUACGGGCAAGCUAGAAUUCGGUAGGGGAGACUGGAAUUCCUGGUGUAGCGGUGAAAUGCGCAGAUAUCAGGAGGAACACCGGUGGCGAAGGCGGGUCUCUGGGACGUGACUGACGCUGAGACGCGAAAGCGUGGGGAGCGAACAGG
rnacentral:rRNA from 1 species